GGGGCAGUAGCUCAGUUGGGAGAGCACCACAAUGGCAUUGUGGGGGUCAGGGGUUCGAGUCCCCUCUGCUCCA
rnacentral:tRNA from 1 species